GAUGAAGAACGCAGCGAAAUGCGAUACGUAAUGUGAAUUGCAGAAUUCAGUGAAUCAUCGAGUCUUUGAACGCACAUUGCGCCCCCUGGUAUUCCGGGGGGCAUGCCUGUCCGAGCGUCAUUGCUGCCCUCAAGCACGGCUUGUGUGUUGGGCCUCCGUCCUCCUCCCGGGGGACGGGCCCGAAAGGCAGCGGCGGCACCGCGUCCGGUCCUCGAGCGUAUGGGGCUUCGUCACCCGCUCUUGUAGGCCCGGCCGGCGCUUGCCGACACAUCAAUCUUUUUUCCAGGUUGACCUCGGAUCAGGUAGGGAUACCCGCUGAUCUUAAGCAUAUCAAUAAGCGGAGGA
rnacentral:misc_RNA from 1 species